rnacentral:rRNA from 1 species
GAUGAACGCUGGCGGCGUGCUUAACACAUGCAAGUCGAACGGUGAAGGCGGAGCUUGCUCUGCUGGAUCAGUGGCGAACGGGUGAGUAACACGUGAGCAAUCUGCCCCUGACUCUGGGAUAAGCGCUGGAAACGGCGUCUAAUACUGGAUACGAGCUGCGAAGGCAUCUUCAGCAGCUGGAAAGAACUUCGGUCAGGGAUGAGCUCGCGGCCUAUCAGCUUGUUGGUGAGGUAAUGGCUCACCAAGGCGUCGACGGGUAGCCGGCCUGAGAGGGUGACCGGCCACACUGGGACUGAGACACGGCCCAGACUCCUACGGGAGGCAGCAGUGGGGAAUAUUGCACAAUGGGCGCAAGCCUGAUGCAGCAACGCCGCGUGAGGGACGACGGCCUCGGUUGUAACCUCUUUAGUCAGGAGAAGCGAAAGUGACGGUACCGUGCAGAAAAGACGACCGGCUAACUACGUGCCACG